rnacentral:rRNA from 1 species
UGGGGAAUCUUGGACAAUGGGGGAAACCCUGAUCCAGCCAUGCCGCGUGAGUGAAGAAGGCCCUAGGGUUGUAAAGCUCUUUCAGCGGGGAAGAUAAUGACGGUACCCGCAGAAGAAGCCCCGGCUAACUCCGUGCCAGCAGCCACGGUAAUACGGAGGGUGCAAGCGUUAUCCGGAAUCACUGGGCGUAAAGGGCACGUAGGCGGUCUAAUAAGUCCGAUGUUAAAGCGUGGGGCUCAACCCCAUCACGGCGUUGGAUACUGUUAGGCUUGACGACUGGAGAGGUGAGUAGAAUUACCAGUGUAGCGGUGGAAUGCGUAGAUACUGGUAGGAAUACCCAUUGCGAAGGCAGCUCACUGGACAGACCGUGACGCUGAGGUGCGAAAGUGUGGGGAGCAAACCGGAUUAGAUACCCGUGUAGUCC